rnacentral:rRNA from 1 species
CCCGCACAAGCGGCGGAGCAUGCGAUUAAUCGAUGCAACGCGAAGAACCUUACCAAGGCUUGACAUACACCGGUAACGCCCAGAGAUGGGUGCCCCUUUGUGGUCGGUGUACAGGUGGUGCAUGGUUGUCGUCAGCUCGUGUCGUGAGAUGUUGGGUUAAGUCCCGCAACGAGCGCAACCUUCGUCCUAUGUUGCCAGCGGGUCAUGCCGGGGACUCAUGGGAGACUGCCGGGGUCAACUCGGAGGAAGGUGGGAUGACGUCAAAUCAUCAUGCCCCUUAUGUCUUGGGCUUCACGCAUGCUACAAUGGCCGGUACAAAGGGCUGCGAUACCGCGAGGUGGAGCGAAUCCCAGAAAGCCGGUCUCAGUUCGGAUUGGGGUCUGCAACUCGACCCCAUGAAGUCGGAGUCGCUAGUAAUCGCAGAUCAGCAACGCUCGCGGUCCGAAUACGUUCCGGCCUU